AUUGAACGCUGGCGGCAGGCCUAACACAUGCAAGUCGAGCGGGGUUUUCGGACCUAGCGGCGGACGGGUGAGUAAUGCGUAGGAAGCUACCCGAUAGAGGGGGAUACCAGUUGGAAACGACUGUUAAUACCGCAUAAUGUCUACGGACCAAAGUGUGGGACCUUCGGGCCACAUGCUAUCGGAUGCGCCUACGUGGGAUUAGCUAGUUGGUGAGGUAAUGGCUCACCAAGGCGACGAUCCCUAGCUGGUUUGAGAGGAUGAACAGCCACACUGGAGCGGAGACACGGUCCAGACUCCUACUGGAGGCAGCAGUGGGGAAUAUUGGCCAAUGGGCGCAGGCCUGAUCCAGCCAUGCCGCGUGUGUGAAGAAGGCCUUCGGGUUGUAAAGCACUUUCAGUAGGGAGGAAGCGUUGUGUGUUAAUAGUACACAGCGUUGACGUUACCUACAGAAGAAGCACCGGCUAACUCUGUGCCAGCCGCCGCCGUAACAC
rnacentral:rRNA from 1 species